UUUGAGUUUUGGCCUGAGGACACCAACCACCAUGUCAUCAUCAUCUGCACUGCCCUGAGAGUAGACAUGAAAGGAAAAGUAGUCCCUGAGACAGCUUGGACCCAACUCAUUAAGGGCCUUGAAGACUGCAUCUAGCUUUUUGGAGAAAGAAACUAACAUGGCAAACAAGUGGCCCAGUCUAUAACUGUUUCAGAUGCCCGCAAAAUUUACAGUGGUCUCACCAAUUUAUUCAUCCCCGUGUCACAGAAAUCUCAACGUAAGUAAUUCCAUUUCUUACAACUGCUGGUUCUAAAAUGAAAAACAUUCCAGCAUAGAUUGAAAUGACAAUUUUACUUGAGAAAAAUUCUAAAUUCUGCUUCAGUUUUGCUUGUGCACAUCAGAAUUUGACUCCAGAGCAUGUUCAGGUGCCACAAGGGCAAAACUGACCCUUGGCAGAUGCUGUGGGAAUGGUUUCCAUCACCACCAGGGCUGCGGUUGUUCCAAAAUCAUUGGUUUUUACUUAGGAUCGC